rnacentral:rRNA from 1 species
AGCGAACGCUGGCGGCAGGCUUAACAUAUGCAAGUCGAACGCAUCCUUCGGGAUGAGUGGCAGACGGGUGAGUAACACGUGGGAACGUACCCUUCGGUUCGGAACAACUCUGGGAAACUGGAGCUAAUACCGGAUACGCCCUUUUGGGGAAAGGUUUACUGCCGAAGGAUCGGCCCGCGUCUGAUUAGCUAGUUGGUGGGGUAACGGCCUACCAAGCCGACGAUCAGUAGGGGUUCUGAGAGGAUUACCCCCCACACUGGUACUGAGACACGGACCAGACUCCUACGGGAGGCAGCAGUGAGGAAUAUUGGUCAAUGGGCGAGAGCCUGAACCAGCCAUCCCGCGUGCAGGAUGACGGCCCUAUGGGUUGUAAACUGCUUUUCUGCUCCAAGAAACCCACCUACGUGUAGGUGGUUGACGGUAGGGUAGGAAUAAGCAUCGGCUAACUCCGUGCCAGCAGCCGCGGUAAUACGGAGGAUGCAAGCGUUAUCCGGAUUCAUUGGGUUUAAAGGGUGCGCAGGUGGGAAUGUAAGUCAGUGGUGAAAUACUGCCGCUUAACGGUAGAGCUGCCAUUGAUACUGCGUUUCUUGAGUAUGGUUGAGGUAGGUGGAAUGUGUUGUGUAGCGGUGAAAUGCAUAGAUAUGACACAGAACGCCGAUUGCGAAGGCAACUUACUAAGCCAUUACUGACGCUGAGGCACGAAAGCGUGGGUAGCGAACAGGAUUAGAUACCCUGGUAGUCCACGCUGUAAACGAUGUUCACUCGCUGNNNGCGAUACACAGUAAGCGGCUGAGCGAAAGCAUUAAGUGAACCACCUGGGGAGUACGAUCGCAAGGUUGAAACUCAAAGGAAUUGACGGGGGCCCGCACAAGCGGAGGAACAUGUGGUUUAAUUCGAUGAUACGCGAGGAACCUUACCUGGGCUUAAAUGUAGAUUGCAUUUCUGAGAAAUCGGGAUUCCCUUCGGGGCUAUUUACAAGGUGCUGCAUGGUUGUCGUCAGCUCGUGCCGUGAGGUGUCGGGUUAAGUCCCAUAACGAGCGCAACCCCUAUCGUUAGUUGCCAGCGGGUCAAGCCGGGGACUCUAGCGAGACUGCCACCGUAAGGUGAGAGGAAGGUGGGGAUGACGUCAAAUCAGCACGGCCCUUAUGUCCAGGGCUACACACGUGUUACAAUGGCCGAUACAAAGGGCAGCUACUUCGCGAGAAGAUGCUAAUCUCUAAAGUCGGUCCCAGUUCGGAUUGGAGUCUGCAACCCGACUCCAUGAAGUUGGAUUCGCUAGUAAUCGCGCAUCAGCCAUGGCGCGGUGAAUACGUUCCCGGGCCU